rnacentral:snRNA from 1 species
UUACUCAGAUUUCUCUUCAGAUCAUAGAAAUCUUUUGCCUUUUACUAAGGAUUUCUGUGGAGAGGAACAGGCAUGAGUGUCGAGGAAUUUUUUGAGACUCUGGAGAAACUGGCAGC